UGAGGAAUAUUGCACAAUGGGCGCAAGCCUGAUGCAGCAAUGCCGCGUGCGGGAGGACGUCCUUCGGGAUGUAAACCGCUUUUCUGCGGGAAGAGCAAGGACGGUACCGCAGGAAUCAGUCACGGCUAACUACGUGCCAGCAGCCGCGGUAAUACGUAGGUGGCGAACGUUAUCCGGAAUUACUGGGCGUAAAGGGUCCGCAGGCGGCGGGUCAAGUCGGAUGUGAAAGCGCGCGGCUCAACCGCGCGAGGCCAUUCGAAACUGGCGCGCUGGAAUCUGACAGAGGUCGGUGGAAUUCCCGGUGUAGUGGUGGAAUGCGUAGAGAUCGGGAGGAACGCCAAAGGCGCAGGCAGCCGACUGGGUCAAGAUUGACGCUGAGGGACGAAAGCGUGGGGAGCGAACAGGAUUAGAUACCCCCGUAGUCC
rnacentral:rRNA from 1 species